GACGAACGCUGGCGGCGUGCCUAAUACAUGCAAGUAGAACGCUGAAGCUUGGUGCUUGCACCGAGCGGAUGAGUUGCGAACGGGUGAGUAACGCGUAGGUAACCUGCCUGGUAGCGGGGGAUAACUAUUGGAAACGAUAGCUAAUACCGCAUAAGAGUAGAUGUUGCAUGACAUUUGCUUAAAAGGUGCAAUUGCAUCACUACCAGAUGGACCUGCGUUGUAUUAGCUAGUUGGUGGGGUAACGGCUCACCAAGGCGACGAUACAUAGCCGACCUGAGAGGGUGAUCGGCCACACUGGGACUGAGACACGGCCCAGACUCCUACGGGAGGCAGCAGUAGGGAAUCUUCGGCAAUGGACGGAAGUCUGACCGAGCAACGCCGCGUGAGUGAAGAAGGUUUUCGGAUCGUAAAGCUCUGUUGUAAGAGAAGAACGAGUGUGAGAGUGGAAAGUUCACACUGUGACGGUAUCUUACCAGAAAGGGACGGCUAACUACGUGCCAGCAGCCGCGGUAAUACGUAGGUCCCGAGCGUUGUCCGGAUUUAUUGGGCGUAAAGCGAGCGCAGGCGGUUAGAUAAGUCUGAAGUUAAAGGCUGUGGCUUAACCAUAGUACGCUUUGGAAACUGUUUAACUUGAGUGCAAGAGGGGAGAGUGGAAUUCCAUGUGUAGCGGUGAAAUGCGUAGAUAUAUGGAGGAACACCGGCGGCGAAAGCGGCUCUCUGGCUUGUAACUGACGCUGAGGCUCGAAAGCGUGGGGAGCAAACAGG
rnacentral:rRNA from 1 species